CUCCCGCCGCUCGGUGCCGGUGCCGGCAAUGGCUGGAGGUGCCCGGGGGCGCUGCCUGCCGCUGCCUGUGCCGCUGCCUGCACCCCUGCGGCUCUGCCUGUGCCUCUGCUGCUGCCUGCUGCUGCUGCCGCCCGCCGCCGGCGCCUGGAGCCCGGCCGUGCUGCCGCCCGCCGCCCGCAGCAACUGGUGCUCGUACACGGUGACACGGACGGUGUCGUGCCACGUCCAGAACGGCACCUUCCUGCAGCGCGUGUUCCAGGGGUGCCGCUGGCCCCUGGCCUGCAGCGGGGGCAGCAGCUACCGCACCAUGGUCCGGCCCAUCUACAGGGUGAGCUACAGGACACUGACGGCGCUGGAGUGGAGGUGCUGCCCCGGGCACACCGGGAGCAACUGCCAGGAAGAGGCUCCCACCUUCCUGUCCCUGCGGGACUCCGGCCGCCCCAGCGCUGCCCCACGGCGCCCCCCCCUGCGCCCCACGGCUUUCUCAGGGUGCCUGAACUGCAGCCGUGUUGGGGAGCUGACAGCCCGGCUCGCCACACUGGAGGCGCAGGUGGCCCGGCUCUCAGGGUCGGACCCCCCCACCACCACCCCAGCACCCAAAGGCAGCACCCUGGGCAGGGGGGCAGAGAUGGGGCAGCUCUGGGGGUCCCCGGCCGCCCGCGGCAGCCCUGGGGAUGAUGGGAAACCCGGUGCCAGGGCCCCCCCCGGCCCCAAGGGGGAUGCAGGAGGAUGGGGACCAUCGGGAAUUCCAGGGGUGAAGGGUCCGAUGGGGCCGCCAGGCCCCCCCGGCCCCCCAGGACCACCUGGCAGGGAUGGAGCCAGGGGGGACCCUGGAGAGAAAGGGUCACCCGGGCCCCCAGGCCCCCCUGGACCCCCUGCACCUGUGGGGCCAGCGGUGCCCCACAUCCAGCCCAGGGACCCUCUCCUGACCAACACCGUCACUGAAGCUGCCGGGGGGAUCGUGGGUCCCGCCGGACCCCCUGGCCCCAUGGGGCCAAUGGGUCCCCCUGGUUCCCCCGGUCCCAUCGGGCCCCCCGGGCCUCCAGGACCUGAUGGCAGAGCCGGCGCUCCCGGCCCCCCUGGGGACAAGGGGGACAGGGGUCCCCAGGGCCCCCCCGGCAGCCGCGGGCAGGAUGGGGCACAGGGUGACAGAGGCCCCAGGGGCGAGCCGGGGGACAGGGGCACGUGGGGGGAGGGCUUGCACCAGCUCCGUGAGGCGCUCAAGAUCCUGGCAGAGCGGGUUCUGAUCCUGGAGACCAUGAUCGGGCUCUAUGGCCAGUAGCUCCCAUCCUCCUUGGAGCAGGCCCGGCUGGAGGCCCUGGGCACCCUGCUGAAGCCUUCAUCGGGCCAGGAAAAGCAUGGAACACUUCUCAAGCUAAGGAAGAUCCAUGGAGACCCUCUGAGCCAAGGGAAACCCUGGAGCUUCCCAGGGAUCAAGGGAGAGCAUGGAGACCUCAAACCAAUGGAAGCCCAUGGAGACCCUCUUGGUCCAAGGAAAACCUUGGAGCUCCCCAGUGGAUCCUUUAGUCCUGGAGGAUUAAAUCAUGGACAUGGAGCCAUGGACACCCUCUUGGAUUGAGAAACAGCCACGGAGACCCUCUUGGGCCACGGAAACCCUGGAGCUUCCCAAUGAGCAAGGGUGACCAUGGAGCCCUUCUCAAACCAAGGGACACCCAUGGAGCCCCUCGUGGAUUGGAAUAAACACCCAUGGAGCUCCCCUUGGAUUGGGAUAGACACCCAUGGAACCCCUUUGGCCGCAGGGACCCCACGUGCACCCCAUGCCCAGCACCCCCCACGCCUGCUCACCCAGUGCGGGGGCAGUUGGUGCCCCCCCCCCCCCCAGCUGUGCUUUGCAGGGUCACACCUCAGGGUGCCAGGGCCGGGUGCCAGCGGGGGAGGGGGGGUUCCCUGUGUGUGUCCCCCCCAUCCCAAUGUGGGGGUCCCUGCACAAUGACCCCCAUUUGGGGGGCAGGAGCUACCCCCCCCAUGGGGUGAGUUUUGGGGGUCCCAUUGACACCUCUUCCCUUUCCCC